GUGCGGUUCACCUGAUAAAAGUCACAUCAUCAUCCCAUUGUUUCAUUUGUCUCAGCUCAGCUUCAGAGUGAACGUUUCCAGCUCUGCUUCCACUGCACACUUCGAAAAUCAUCUGCAAACGAUGGCUACAGUCUGCAUUGAGUACUGUGGAGGAUGACAAACAGCAUCAUGCUUCCAGAUAAUAGCCAGGACCCUUCAGGAGGCUAUUUCUGAUGUGCAGAUUCAGCGAAAAAACGGACCUCCAGGCAGCUUUGAGGUGUACGUGAAUAAUGAGCUGGUCUUCUCCAAACUAAAUUCUAGAAAAUUGCCUAAUCCUCAUCAGUUGUGCGAGGUUGUGAAGCAGAAGAUCAAAGAGGGC